AACGAACGCUGGCGGCAUGCCUAACACAUGCAAGUCGAACGAGACCUUCGGGUCUAGUGGCGCACGGGUGCGUAACGCGUGGGAACCUGCCCUUAGGUUCGGAAUAACUCCCCGAAAGGGGUGCUAAUACCGGAUAAUGUCUUCGGACCAAAGAUUUAUCGCCGUUGGAUGGGCCCGCGUUGGUUUAGCUAGUUGGUAGGGUAAAAGCCUACCAAGGCGACGAUCCAUAGCUGGUCUGAGAGGAUAAUCAGCCACACUGGGACUGAGACACGGCCCAGACUCCUACGGGAGGCAGCAGUGGGGAAUAUUGGACAAUGGGCGAAAGCCUGAUCCAGCAAUGCCGCGUGAGUGAUGAAGGCCUUAGGGUUGUAAAGCUCUUUUACCCGGGAUGAUAAUGACAGUACCGGGAGAAUAAGCUCCGGCUAACUCCGUG
rnacentral:rRNA from 1 species